GCCAGGGGUACCGGGCGGGAGGCCGGCUCUCACCUUCCGCGCUCGCUCAGCUCCGCUCAGCUCCUCCUCCUCCUCCGCCACCGGGGUGGCGGCGGCCCAGCCGGGAGUGAGCGCCCGAGUGCGCGCGAGCGGCCGCUUCACGUACUCCCUCCUGCCGCCGCCGGCCGCGCCUCCCCCACGCCGCUCGCGCCGGGGAUCCCCUCAGGACUGGGGCAUCGGAUUUUGAAAGCAGACUCAAGAAGAUGGAAAAGGCAAGAAAAUGAAUUCUCCCUUGGAGCCUCCAGAAAGGAACAGAGCCCUGAUGAUGCCUUAGUCUAAGCCAGCUGACAUUCAUUUGGGACUUCUGAACUACAGAACUGUAAAAUAAUAAAUGUGUAUUGUUUUAAGCCA